AUACUUACCUGGCGUGGAGGUUACCUUAAUCAGGGUGAGGCCCUUCCAUUGCACUUAGGUUGGGUUAACCCCUGCAAGUAGGUAUUCCAAAUGUUCGGGUGGGUAAUUUUUGGUUCUAACAAUGUUUUGCGUCGUUU
rnacentral:snRNA from 11 species